AUACGGAGGGUGCAAGCGUUAAUCGGAAUUACUGGGCGUAAAGCGCGCGUAGGCGGCUAAGUAAGUCGGAUGUGAAAGCCCUGGGCUCAACCUGGGAAUUGCAUUCGAUACUGCUUGGCUAGAGUAUGGUAGAGGGUAGUGGAAUUCCUGGUGUAGCGGUGAAAUGCGUAGAUAUCAGGAGGAACAUCAGUGGCGAAGGCGGCUACCUGGGCCAAUACUGACGCUGAGGUGCGAAAGCGUGGGUAGCAAACAGGAUUAGAAACCCGGGUAGUCC
rnacentral:rRNA from 1 species